AUGGACCUUAGGGUUAGUAAAUAUGCUCAUAAGCUGUUUAGCAUACAACAAAAUGCCUUCAUCAAGGGGAGGCACAUAGUGGAUGGCAUUUUAUCCCUACAUGAGGUUAUACAUUAUACUCAUGUUAAAAAACAAAUGGGAGUGGUUCUUAAGCUUGAUUUUGGGAAAGCUUACGACAAAGUCAAUUGGGACUUUUUGCUGGAAUGCCAUGUUAAACGUGGAUUUAACCAAAAAUGGUGUGGGUGGGUAGCUCAAAUCCUUAAGAAUGGAACGGUUAGUGUUAAGAUCAAUGAUGAGCUGGGGCAUUAUAUACAGAGUGCUAAAGGGGUCAGGCAAGGGGACCCACACUCUCCUUUCCUUUUUAAUCUUGCGUCAGAAUGCCUAACUAAGAUGAUGACUUCGGCCCAGAAAAAUGGCCUUGUCAAA
rnacentral:rRNA from 1 species